AGUAAAAGUCCUCCUUCUAAGCACCAAACAUACAGGUGUACGAAUAGAAGAUAAUUAUAAACGUGUUCCAGAAACCAUUGCUUUUUACAAUAAAACAAAGUAUGGUGUUGACAAAAUGGCACGCAAAUAUAGCGUGAAAGCAGGGAGUUUCCGAUGGCCCCUUCAAGUCUUUUUCAAUAUUUUGGAUUUGCCGAGAAAAUAACUGGAGAAAACAAGGAGAACAUUUGCCAAAGAUCGGACGCUUUAUUU
rnacentral:misc_RNA from 1 species